AUUGAACGCUGGCGGCGUGCUUUACACAUGCAAGUCGAACGAGUGGCGAACGGGUGAGUAACGCAUAGGAACGUACCGAAUGAUGGGGGAUAACUGUCCGAAACGGCAGCUAAUACCGCGUACUAUACGAUCGGCCGAUGGUGGAUUAGGUAGUUGGCGGGGUAAAGGCCCACCAAGGCGACGAUCAGUAGCGGGUCUGAGAGGAUGACCAGCCACACUGGGACUGAGACACGGCCCAGACUCCUACGGGAGGCAGCAGUGGGGAAUUUUGGACAAUGGGCGCAAGCCUGAUCCAGCCAUGCCGCGUGUCUGAAGAAGGCCUUCGGGUUGUAAAGUUCUUUUGUCAGGGAAGCGGUACCUGAAGAAGAAGCACCGGCUAACUACGUGCCAGCAGCCGCGGUAAUUC
rnacentral:rRNA from 1 species